GAGCCAGUGCGGUUGCCGAGAGGUUAUGGAGUGAUAAAAGUGUGACAGACGUGGGUAAUGCCUAUAAUCGUCUGGCCCAGCAUCGCUGCCGCAUGGUCAAGAGAGGCAUACCUGCAGAACCUCUAUUUGUUGGCCACUGCCGUCAGGAGUACAUGGGCCUAUGAAAUUCAACAUUCAGCUCACAGUAGACAAUUAAAGGGAAUAAAAGGACAACACUUUUUAAAAGAUAAAACCAUGUUAAUCAUUCCAGUAACUAUGAUUUGCUGUUCUAUGCACUGAGCCAGUUAUUGAUGUUUGCAAAUGGACAAUUCUGUACAUCUCGAUUUCCUCUGUAGGCUUAAAUUUGAUUAAACUGUCAUUACUAUUCUAAAUUUGAAGUUUUUGAAACGA